GAUGAACGCUAGCGGCAGGCCUAACACAUGCGAGUCGAGGGAGGAGCUUUCGGGCUUCGACCGGCGUACGGGUGCGUAACGCGUAUACAAUCUGCCUUUCACAUAGGGAUAGCCCGAAGAAAUUUGGAUUAAUACCUAAUGGUAUAUAGGAGUGGCAUCACAUUUAUAUUAAAGCUGAGGCGGUGAAAGAUGAGUAUGCGUUCUAUUAGCUAGUUGGAGAGGUAACGGCUCCCCAAAGCGACGAUAGAUAGGGGUUCUGAGAGGGAUAUCCCCCACACUGGUACUGAGAUACGGACCAGACUCCUACGGGAGGCAGCAGUGAGGAAUAUUGGACAAUGGUCGGAAGACUGAUCCAGCCAUGCCGCGUGCAGGAAGACGGCCUUAUGGGUUGUAAACUGCUUUUGCAGGGGAAGAAUAAGGACUACGAGUAGUUUGAUGACGGUACUCUGCGAAUAAGCAUCGGCUAACUCCGUG
rnacentral:rRNA from 1 species